GACGAACGCUGGCGGCGUGCCUAAUACAUGCCAGUAGAACGCUGAAGGAGGAGCUUGCUUCUCCGGAUGAGUUGCGAACGGGUGAGUAGCGCGUAGGUAACCUGCCUGGUAGCGGGGGAUAACUAUUGGAAACGAUAGCUAAUACCGCAUAACAGUAGAUGUUGCAUGACAUUUGCUUAAAAGGUGCAAUUGCAUCACUACCAGAUGGACCUGCGUUGUAUUAGCUAGUUGGUGAGGUAACGGCUCACCAAGGCGACGAUACAUAGCCGACCUGAGAGGGUGAUCGGCCACACUGGGACUGAGACACGGCCCAGACUCCUACGGGAGGCAGCAGUAGGGGAUCUUCGGCAAUGGACGGAAGUCUGAACGAGCAACGCCGCGUGAGUGAAGAAGGGUUUCGGAUCGUAAAGCUCUGUUGUAAGAGAAGAACGAGUGUGAGAGUGGAAAGUUCACACUGUGACGGUAUCUUACCAGAAAGGGACGGCUAACUACGUG
rnacentral:rRNA from 1 species